rnacentral:rRNA from 1 species
UACGGGGGGGGCAAGCGUUGUUCGGAAUUACUGGGCGUAAAGGGCUCGUAGGCGGCCAACUAAGUCAGACGUGAAAUCCCUCGGCUUAACCGGGGAACUGCAUCUGAUACUGGAUGGCUUGAGUUCGGGAGGGGGAUGCGGAAUUCCAGGUGUAGCGGUGAAAUGCGUAGAUAUCUGGAGGAACACCGGUGGCGAAGGCGGCAUCCUGGACCGACACUGACGCUGAGGAGCGAAAGCCAGGGGAGCAAACGGG